UACGUAGGGUCCGAGCGUUGUCCGGAAUUACUGGGCGUAAAGAGCUCGUAGGUGGUUUGUCGCGUUGUUCGUGAAAAACUCACAGCUUAACUGUGGGCGUGCGGGCGAUACGGGCAGACUAGAGUGUGGUAGGGGAGACUGGAAUUCCUGGUGUAGCGGUGAAAUGCGCAGAUAUCAGGAGGAACACCGAUGGCGAAGGCAGGUCUCUGGGCCACUACUGACGCUGAGAAGCGAAAAGCAUGGGGGGAGCGAAACAGGG
rnacentral:rRNA from 1 species